UGGUGGAGUGAUUUGUCUGGUUAAUUCCGUUAACGAACGAGACCCUGCCUGCUAAAUAGUCAAAUGAGUGAUUUUUCACUGAUUGUGGCUUCUUAGAGGGACGUGCAUUUUAUUAGAUGCAGGAGGAUAGGGGCAAUAACA
rnacentral:rRNA from 1 species